rnacentral:lncRNA from 10 species
GCGGGAAUGACGGACCUGUGGGAAUGAGGUUGAAGGUGCAUAGUGGCGGGGGGUUUUAAGGGCGGCGAUGGACGGAGACAGGUUAUGAUGUGAGAGAACGAGCUAGGGAGAGGGCCCAGAGAUAGGUUGGGAGUAGGGUGGGGGAAACAGUGAUCUAAAGGGACAAGAGGCAGGGGCUUGGAGGAGCAGGGCCGUAAGAAAGAACGCGGCUAACGGGAUGAGAAUGAAGGCGCCAACACACUGCCAAGAUGGAGUGGGAAAAAACUAGAGAGGGAUGAGGCGGAGGGCAAAGGAUCGGAGAGAGGGGAUGAGGAUGGCUAGGGAAGAACGGCAGAAGUUCGGCCCAGAAUAAAGAACAGGGUCAGGACAGAAGACGUGUUUGGAGAGAAGACAGACUUGAGUGGAGGGGAAUGGAGGUGCACUGAGCGGGGAAACCUCCUGGGCUGCUGGAAGGUGGGGACAGGUGGGAGUCUGGCAGAUAACUGCUCACCGUAGAGUCCUUAAAGGACGUGCCCGGAAGAAAGGGCAAGCCAUGCACGGGAUUGGACACCAUUGCAGCCGGUACCACCGCCGCCACCUAGGUCCUGCUUCGUCCUCUCCGGUUGCCCAGGCGACAAGCAGUGUUCGCGGGCACCUCCAGGAUCCAUGGUAACGCUAAACAUCCGGAACUCCCACGAGCGGAAGGCGGGGCCAGGAGGCGCAGGCAUCACAGGAGGUUUGCGCGUGCGCCAUCCGCAGGACUCCGCGUUCUCGCGAUCUCUUUUUACUUCUUUGGCUCCUCCGCUGGACUGUAAGCUCCUACGGAGAGAGAUUAGCAAACUGAAGUUCAAAGAAUUGGAUAACCUAGCCCAAGAUCAGACCUUUGGAGAAUGAAAGAAUCUGGAUUUGCACCCGGAACUUACUGGCUUCCACCUCUAAACACCAGCUUCCCUGUUCCAACUUUUCUAAAGUUGAAUGUUCUUCAUACAAAUAUCAGCAGGAAGACAUUGAGGCACAAAAUAAAUGGGGUAUUGUAUGAGAAUGCCUAGCUUUCAAUGAGCUUAUGUCUCCAAGCUUGGACAAAUUCCGGCUGGGGUACCAACAGAAUUUAUAUAUGAGAAGACUGUUGGCAGCUUUUCAGGGACUGUGGGGCCGGGGAGAGACGCCAGAAGACUGUGGCUGGGUACACACUAUUCCAUUUUGUGAAAAGGGGAAGAAGGUUGAUUCUGCAAACCAUAGAUGCCAGAGUCCUGGGCAAAGUUCUUGAAGGGCAUCCUAUAAACAUAAAAAAAGGGAAGUCAUUGCUAGGCACCAACAAGUUUUCAUUGAGAAGAGAUUAUUCCAAAUGAACCUAACUUCCAUUUCUCAUAAGGUGAAAAAUUGGUAUGGCUUUAUUUAGACAAUACAUUUUGCUCAUUUUCA